rnacentral:rRNA from 1 species
AUCCUACGGGGGGCAGCAGUAGGGAAUCUUCCACAAUGGGCGAAAGCCUGAUGGAGCAACGCCGCGUGGGUGAAGAAGGUCUUCGGAUCGUAAAACCCUGUUGUUAGAGAAGAAAGUGCGUGAGAGUAACUGUUCACAUUUCGACGGUAUCUAACCAGAAAGCCACGGCUAACUACGUGCCAGCAGCCGCGGUAAUACGUAGGCGGCAAGCGUUAUCCGGAUUUAUUGGGCGUAAAGGGAACGCAGGCGGUCUUUUAAGUCUGAUGUGAAAGCCUUCGGCUUAACCGGAGUAGUGCAUUGGAAAC